rnacentral:lncRNA from 1 species
AUGCCUGAAGCCUUCAGACAAGCUUGGAGAGCAGCACUGAGACUGCAAGAUCCCAGAGGGGUCAACCAGGAGGCCUAUGGAUGCUCUCCAGUACACCCAGCAAUCUGGAGAAUUCGGGAUGAGGCACGGAGGGAGCAGAUGUUGUCCAGCUGGAACAUCUCCUGGCCAAGCAACAAGAGCAUGCUCAGGCUGCUAAGACCCCAAGCAGCACAUGACAGUGCCAGUGCUACCAACAGUGCUCAGGGUAUGCUGGACACCUGCACCACAACAGUGAUGGUGGAGGGCUUCUUUCCUGCACCAGGGGAGCUCCCCUCCUGGGAUGCUGGAGUGCGGGAUGAACCGCAUGAUUUAGAAGAGAUUGUUAAGACAGGAACUGCAAGACAGUCGUCUGGUGACCUGCAGAAUGCAUGUCUUGCCCUGUCUGAUGAGGCAGAGACAGUGUGUUCAGCUUCUCUUCUGGGCGCUGGUCUUGGGCCUGCAGGACACCUUGAGCCAUUGCCUGCAUCAGUGCCUGAAGAUGCAGAAAAUGAGACCACGCACUGUCCAGAGGAGGUCAAUGCAGCACCACUCCUGUCAGCAUGCAAGGGAGGAGAAGAAGAAAUAGCUAUGCCUGUGCUGGAAUUGUCCAAAGAAGCUCUUGGAGAAACACCAAAACUGCAAGAUGCCAGAGAGAUCUACGGGGAGACCUAUGGAUACUCUCCAAUUUUCCCAGCAAUUCAUAGAAUUCGGAAUGAGGCGAGGAAGGAGCAGAUGUUGUCCAGCUGGAACAUCUCCUGGCCAAGCAACGAGAGCGUGCUCAGGCUGCUGAGACCCCAAGCAGCACAUGACAGUGCCAGUGCUACCGACACUGUUGAGAGUUUGCUGGAGACCUGCACCACAACAUCGAUGGUGGAGGGCCCCAUUCCUGCACCAGGAGAGUUCAUAUCCGGGGAUGCUGGCGUGCAGGAUGAACAGCAUGAUUCGGAAGAGGCUGCUGAGACAGAAUCUGCAGGACAGUCAUCUGGUGACCUGCAGAGUGCAUGUCUUGCCGAGUCUGAUGAGGCACACACAGUGUGUUCACCAUCUCUUCUGGAUGCAGAUCCAGGGCCUGUAG